UUGGAGGGCAAGUCUGGUGCCAGCAGCCGCGGUAAUUCCAGCUCCAAUAGCGUAUAUUAAAGUUGUUGCAGUUAAAAAGCUCGUAGUUGAACCUCGGAACCAAUGGGUCGGUCAUGCCAAUGGUAUGUACUGGCCUCUUUGGUUCUCACCUUCUAAGGAACCAUAAUGUCAUUUAUUUGAUGUUGUGGGAAAUUAGGACCGUUACCUUGAAAAAUUAGAGUGUUUAAAGCAGGCCAACGCUUGAAUACAUUAGCAUGGAAUAAUGAAAUAGGACAUCGCAUUCUAUUUUGUGGUUUCUAGGAUCGAUGUAAUGAUUAAUAGGGAUAGUUGAGGGCAUUAGUGUUCAAUUGUCAGAGGUGAAAUUCUUGGAUUUUAUUGAAGACUAACUA
rnacentral:rRNA from 1 species